UGGGGAAUAUUGGACAAUGGGCGAAAGCCUGAUCCAGCCAUGCCGCGUGUGUGAAGAAGGUCUUCGGAUUGUAAAGCACUUUAAGUUGGGAGGAAGUGCAUUAACCUAAUACGUUAGUGUUUUGACGUUACCGACAGAAUAAGCACCGGCUAACUCUGUGCCAGCAGCCGCGGUAAUACAGAGGGUGCAAGCGUUAAUCGGAAUUACUGGGCGUAAAGCGCGCGUAGGUGGUUUGUUAAGUUGGAUGUGAAAUCCCCGGGCUCAACCUGGGAACUGCAUUCAAAACUGACUGACUAGAGUAUGGUAGAGGGUGGUGGAAUUUCCUGUGUAGCGGUGAAAUGCGUAGAUAUAGGAAGGAACACCAGUGGCGAAGGCGACCACCUGGACUAAUACUGACACUGAGGUGCGAAAGCGUGGGGAGCAAACA
rnacentral:rRNA from 1 species